rnacentral:rRNA from 1 species
AACAAGGAUUCCCCUAGUAACGGCGAGUGAAGCGGGAAGAGCUCAAAUUUGUAAUCUGGCACUUUCAGUGUCCGAGUUGUAAUCUCGAGAAGUAUUUUCCGCGCCGGACCGCAUACAAGUCUGUUGGAAUACAGCGUCAUAGUGGUGAGAACCCCGUAACUGAUGCGGAUGCCCGGUGCUUUGUGAUAUACUUUCGAAGAGUCGAGUUGUUUGGGAAUGCAGCUCAAAUUGGGUGGUAAAUUCCAUCUAAAGCUAAAUAUUGGAGCAAGACCGAUAGCGAACAAGUACCGUGAGGGAAAGAUGAAAAGCACUUUGGAAAGAGAGUUAACAGUACGUGAAAUUGUUGGAAGGGAAACGCUUGAAGUCAGACUUGCUAUUCGGAGUUCAGCCGCAAGGUGUAUUCUUCGAUUCGCAGGCCAGCAUCAGUUUUUGGGGGUGGAAAAUCGCGGUUUGAAGGUAGCAACCUCGGUUGUGUUAUAGCUUUCCGCUGGAUUCAUCCUUGGGGACUGAGGAACGCAGUACGCUUUUUGCAAGGCUCUCGAGC